rnacentral:tRNA from 13 species
UACCUGGUUGAUCCUGCCAGUAGCGUAUGCUUGUCUCAAAGCUUAAGCCAUGCAUGUCUAAGUAGAAGCCCUAGCAAGGCGAAACCGCGGAAGGCUCAUUAAAUCAGUCUGAAUCUAAAGGCAUUUGUUAGAAUCGAUUUUGUCGCAUUUUUACUUGGAUAACUGUGGUAAUUCUAUAGCUAAUACAUGGACACCGUGGUACCACUGUUUCACCUACGGCUGAAACAGAGACCGCUAUUGUUGCAUGGAACGCACUGGGAUUCUCAGGAAUUUCAAUAAAAACGAUGAAUCACAACAAAUUAGCCGAGCGUAUGGUCUCGAACCGACGCUGUACCUUUCGAGCGACUGCCUUAUCAGCUUUCGAUUGUAGGGUAUUGUCCUACAAUGGCGAUAACGGGUAACGGGGAAUCAGGGUUCGAUUCCCGGAGAGGGAGCCUGAGAAACGGCUACCACAUCUAAGGAAGGCAGCAGGCACGCAAAUUACCCACUCUCAGCACGGGGAGGUAGUGACAAAAAAUAACGAUGCGUGUCUCUUUCUGAGGCCUCGCAAUCGGAAUGGAUUUAUACUUAAAUCACUGAAUGAGGAGCAAUUGGAGGGCAAGUCUGGUGCCAGCAGCCGCGGUAACUCCAGCUUCAGUAGCGUACGUUAACGUUGCUGCGGUUAAAAAGCUCGUAGUUGGACCUUAAGUGCGGACGGUCGAUUCACCCAUCGGAAUGCUAGCGGUCAAAGGAGUCAAAUCCGGAGGCCAAUAGCCUCGUUGGCUGAUAUCAACGGCCGAUUAUUCCGUCACUUGAUGAAGAUUUGUCGGUUUAUAUGUGUGUUGGGCACUCUCUCGGGUGUUCUAGCUCACGUGGCUGACAAUGUCACUUUGCAAAAAUGAGAACGAUUAAGGUAGGCUGAAUGCCAUGAAUAUUCAUGCAUAGUACGAGAGAAUAGGACUUUGUCUCUGUUUGGUGCACAGAAUGAUGAAGUAAUGAUUAAGAGAGACAGACGGGGACGUUCGUACUGCGGCGUUAGAGGUGAAAUUCUUGGAUCGCUGCAAGACGAACAAUCGCGAAGGCAUUCGUCCAGAACGCUUUUCUUAAUCAAGAACGAAAGUUAGAGGAUCGAAGGCGAUCAGAUACCGCCCUAGUUCUAACCGUAAACGAUGCUGACCGGCUAUUAGUCGGUGUUAUACCCAAACACACGAUUAGCAACCCCCGGGAAACCAGAGUCUUUGUGUUCCGGGGGGAUGUAUGGUUGCAAGGCUGAAACUUAAAAGGAAUUGACGGAAGGGCACCACCAGGAGUGGACUGCGGCUUAAUUUGACUCAACACGGGAAAACUUACCAGGACAGGACAUCGGAAGGACUGACAGAUUUUAAGCUCUUUCUCGAUUCGAUGGGUAGUGGUGCAUGGCCGUUCUUAGUUGGUGGAGUGAUUUGUCUGGUUAAUUCCGAUAACGAACGAGAUUUUGCCCUGCUAAUUAGUCUGCUGAUUAUAUCGGGUCGUCUGUUCCUUCGGGUUCAGCGGCUUGGAACCUCAUGGCUUGGGUAUGCUUCGAUUGGGGGUGUAGGUGGUGCUUUGGGAAGACGGUGUGUUUGCGUCGGUUCUUCUGAGCUGUGCAGCACGCUGUUGGAUUAUUGCCUGUAAGCUUACGCUCUCGGUUGGUAUUCCUUGCCGAUUGUGGUGUCAGUAUUGUGUCUUCUUAGAGGGAACGGCAUCGUAUAGUUGCACGAGAUUGAGCAAUAACAGGUCUGUGAUGCCCUUAGAUGUCUUGGGCUGCACGCGCGCUACAAUGGAGAGAUCAACGCGCUUUCUACCUGCUCCGAGAGGAGUUGGGAACCCGCUGAAAUCUCUCCUCAAUUGGGAUUGCGGUUUGAAAUUGUUCCUCAUGAACGAGGAAUUCCUGGUAAGCGUGAAUCAAUCAGUUCACGAUGAUUACGUCCCUGCCCUUUGUACACACCGCCCGUCGCUACUACCGAUUGAAUGAUUCAGUGAGGCUAUUGGACUGGCACCCCAGAAUAGAAAUUUAUUUCUUUCCGGGGGUUGACGGGAAGAUGUCCAAACUGGAUCAUUUAGAGGAAGUAAAAGUCGUAACAAGGUUUCCGUAGGUGAACCUGCGGAAGGAUCAUUA